AGCGAACGCUGGCGGCAGGCCUAACACAUGCAAGUCGAACGAAGUCUUCGGACUUAGUGGCGGACGGGUGAGUAACACGUGGGAACGUGCCUUUAGGUUCGGAAUAACGCAGGGAAACUUGUGCUAAUACCGAAUGUGCCCUUCGGGGGAAAGAUUUAUCGCCCUUAGAGCGGCCCGCGUCUGAUUAGCUAGUUGGUGAGGUAAAGGCUCACCAAGGCGACGAUCAGUAGCUGGUCUGAGAGGAUGAUCAGCCACAUUGGGACUGAGACACGGCCCAAACUCCUACGGGAGGCAGCAGUGGGGAAUCUUGCGCAAUGGGCGAAAGCCUGACGCAGCCAUGCCGCGUGAAUGAUGAAGGUCUUAGGAUUGUAAAAUUCUUUCACCGGGGACGAUAAUGACGGUACCCGGAGAAGAAGCCCCGGCUAACUUCGUGCCAGCCGCCGCGGUAACAC
rnacentral:rRNA from 1 species